AUGGACAUGAGGGUUUCUGCUUGGCUCCUGGGUCUCCUGCUGCUCUGGCUCCCAGAUGCCAGAUGUGACAUCCAGAUGACCCAGUCUCCAUCCUUCCUGUCUGCAGCUGUAGGAGACAGAGUCACCGUCACUUGCCAGGCAAGUCAGGGAAUUAGCAAUGAAUUAUCCUGGUAUCAGUAGAAACCAGGGAAAGCCCCUGCACUCUUGAUAUGCUGCAAACAAAUUGCAGUCGGGAAUCCCAUCUCGGUUCAGUGGCCAUGGAUCUGGGACAGAUUUCACCCUCACCAUCAGCAGCCUGCAGCCUGAUUUUGCUACUUAUUACUGUGAAUUGGAUUCUUCCUUAGGGGAGGGCAGGGGCGAUAAUUAG